UACAAAAAAAAAAAAAAAAAAAAAAACCACACAUGAAAAGAGAACAAGCAGAGAUUCUCACCUCCCAUUCUCCACCCCUAGUGCAGUACUGGUGAGGGUCACGCAGUUAGAAGGAAGAGUAGGUGCUGAGGCCUAAAAAGAAAAACUGCUGAUGGUGAUUGGCAGAGUGGUAGGAAAGGGCUCUGAAGGCCUGUGUCUGGAGCAGUGAGAAAAAAGCAUAACUGAUUUUGGAGCUUAAAGAACAAGCACCACCCCUGAAGAUUCCCUUGUAAAUACCAGGGAAGACUCUGAAAGGGUGGCUGAGGUCAUAUCAUGGGAGCCAGAAUUUGGGCACAUUGAUACUACACUGUAAAACCCACAAUAUGCACACGCACACUAUUGAGCCAUAUGGAAACAUUGCACUAGGCUGGUAAUGGUUGCUCACACCUGUGAUCCCAACACUUUGAGAGGCCAAGGCAGGUGGAUCACUUGAGCCUAGGAGUUAGAGAUCAGCCUGGGCAACAUGGUGAAACCCUAUCUCUACUAAAAAAUACAAAGGCUGGGCAUGGUGGCUCACGCCUAUAAUCCCAGAACUUUGGGAGGCGGAGGCAGGUGAUCACCUGAGGUCAGGAGUUUGAGACCAGCCUAACCAA
rnacentral:lncRNA from 1 species